AUACGGAGGGGGCUAGCGUUGUUCGGAAUUACUGGGCGUAAAGGGCACGUAGGCGGAUUGGCUAGUCAGGCGUGAAAGCCCCGGGCUUAACCUGGGAACUGCGCUUGAAACUGCCAUUCUUGAGUCCGGGAGAGGGUAGUGGAAUUCCCAGUAUAGAGGUGAAAUUCGUAGAUAUUGGGAAGAACACCGGUGGCGAAGGCGGCUACCUGGACCGGUACUGACGCUGAGGUGCGAAAGCGUGGGUAGCAAACAGGAUUAGAAACCCCGGUAGUCC
rnacentral:rRNA from 1 species